ACGUAGGUCCCGAGCGUNGUCCGGAUUUAUUGGGCGUGAAGCGAGCGCAGGCGGUUAGAUAANUCUGAAGUUAAAGGCUGUGGCUUAACCAUAGUACGCUUUGGAAACUGUUUAACUUGAGUGCAAGAGGGGAGAGUGGAAUUCCAUGUGUAGCGGUGAAAUGCGUAGAUAUAUGGAGGAACACCGGUGGCGAAAGCGGCUCUCGGGCUUGUAACUGACGCUGAGGCUCGAAAGCGUGGGGAGCAAACAGGACUAGAUACCCUGGCAGUNCACGCCGUAAACGAUGAGUGCUAGGUGUUAGACCCUUUCCGGGGUUUAGUGCCGUAGCUAACGCAUUAAGCACUCCGCCUGGGGAGUACGACCGCAAGGUUGAAACUCAAAGGAAUUGACGGGGGCCCGCACAAGCGGUGGAGCAUGUGGUUUAAUUCGAAGCAACGCGAAGAACCUUACCAGGUCUUGACAUCCCUCUGACCGCUCUAGAGAUAGAGCUUUCCUUCGGGACAGAGGUGACAGGUGGAGCAUGGUUGUCGUCAGCUCGUGUCGUGAGAUGUUGGGUUAAGUCCCGCAACGAGCGCAACUCCUAUUGUUAGUUGCCAUCAUUCAGUUGGGCACUCUAGCGAGACUGCCGGUAAUAAACCGGAGGAAGGUGGGGAUGACGUCAAAUCAUCAUGCCCCUUAUGACCUGGGCUACACACGUGCUACAAUGGCUGGUACAACGAGUCGCAAGCCGGUGACGGCAAGCUAAUCUCUGAAAGCCAGUCUCAGUUCGGAUUGUAGGCUGCAACUCGCCUACAUGAAGUCGGAAUCGCUAGUAAUCGCGGAUCAGCACGCCGCGGUGAAUACGUUCCCGGGCCUUGUACACACCGCCCGUCACACCACGAGAGUUUGUAACACCCGAA
rnacentral:rRNA from 1 species